UACGUAGGGUGCAAGCGUUAAUCGGAAUUACUGGGCGUAAAGCGUGCGCAGGCGGUUAUGUAAGUCAGAUGUGAAAUCCCCGGGCUCAACCUGGGAAUGGCGAUGGAGACUGCAAGGCUAGAGUUUGGCAGAGGGGGGUAGAAUUCCACGUGUAGCAGUGAAAUGCGUAGAGAUGUGGAGGAACACCGAUGGCGAAGGCAGCCCCCUGGGUCAAAACUGACGCUCAUGCACGAAAGCGUGGGGAGCAAACAGG
rnacentral:rRNA from 1 species